AGUCAAUAGAUACCCGGGUAGUCCACGCCGUAAACGAUGAGUACUAGGUGUAGGAGGUAUCGACUCCUUCUGUGCCGCAGUUAAACACAAUAAGUACUCCGCCUGGGAAGUACGGUCGCAAGAUUAAAACUCAAAGGAAUUGACGGGGGCCCGCACAAGCAGCGGAGCAUGUGGUUUAAUUUGAAGCAACGCGAAGAACCUUACCUAGACUUGACAUCUCCUGAAUAGCGCAGAGAUGCGUGAAGCCCUUCGGGGCAGGAAGACAGGUGGUGCAUGGUUGUCGUCAGCUCGUGUCGUGAGAUGUUGGGUUUAAGUCCCGCAACGAGCGCAACCCCUAUUAUUAGUUGCUACCAUUAAGUUGAGCACUCUAAUGAGACUGCCCGGGUUAACCGGGAGGAAGGCGGGGAUGACGUCAAAUCAUCAUGCCCCUUAUGUCUAGGGCUACACACGUGCUACAAUGGUGAGAACAACGAGAUGCAAUACCGCGAGGUGGAGCAAAACUUGAAAACUCAUCUCAGUUCGGA
rnacentral:rRNA from 1 species